UGGGGAAUAUUGCACAAUGGGCGAAAGCCUGAUCCAGCAAUACCGAGUGAGUGAUGAAGGCCCUAGGGUUGUAAAGCUCUUUUAGCAAGGAAGAUAAUGACGUUACUUGCAGAAAAAGCCCCGGCUAACUCCGUGCCAGCAGCCGCGGUAAGACGGAGGGGGCUAGCGUUGUUCGGAAUUACUGGGCGUAAAGAGUGCGUAGGCGGUUUAGUAAGUUGGAAGUGAAAGCCCGGGGCUUAACCUCGGAAUUGCUUUCAAAACUACUAAUCUAGAGUGUAGUAGGGGAUGAUGGAAUUCCUAGUGUAGAGGUGAAAUUCUUAGAUAUUAGGAGGAACACCGGUGGCGAAGGCGGUCAUCUGGGCUACAACUGACGCUGAUGCACGAAAGCGUGGGGAGCAAACA
rnacentral:rRNA from 1 species